UCACGUGACAUAACAGCCAGGCGGGUGCGCAGCGUGUUCGUUCGCGUACACAGCCUGUAUUCUGGUGGCACAGAAAGAAAUAUUUACAUGUUUCAGCUCAUUGAAUCCAUUGGUCGAUUCGUGCGUAUUUUACCUAGGGUUGGCAAUGGCAAGAGAGAACAUAUAGCAACAACAACAACAUCAGCAUCAGCAGAAACGACGACGACGACGGCAGUGGCGUCAGAGGCGGCAACAGCAGCAGCCUCAGUGAUCAAGGCAAAGAAAUUACAAGUAAUGACACAAAAAUAGCGCGAGAGAAUAAGUAAAGAGAUUCGCCGAUUUCAACAAUUGCGUCGUUUACUUAUUGAAAAUUGGCGCCUUUUUUUAUAUAGGUGCGGAGAGUGAGAUCAAGUCACCAGAGUCAAUAUGUGUGUUGAUCGAUCGAUUUAAAUGGACGUUUUUUUUUAAAUGGCAGACAGUGGCCUUUAUUACGGCCACAUUCAGAAUAAUUGCUUGACGCGCGAAUAUGAUCGCCUCCUCUCGGCGACGAGUGAUUUAUGAGCUAGUGAAUUAUGAAUAUCCGCAUGCAGUGUGCCAGCAAUUUCCGUUUGUAAAAUCAACAAAACGACAAGCGAGAUAGGGAGACGAAUAUGAAGAAGUGGAUAGAAGAAAAAAAAUGACGACACUCGACACAUGGAAUAUUUAUGGCAUAAAAUUGAUUCUAAACACGCUCACGAAUUCCGUUGGAUGUUGCAUAAAUUAUUGAGCAGAAAAAAUGUUUUUGAUGCAACUGCUAAAUACAGAAACCGGUGCAAGAUCUUCUCUCGCCGCCACUAAAAAAAAACGAACGCUGAGAGAACGAUGCAAAAAAACCACUGCUAUUGCUGUUGCUGCUGCUGCUGCUGCUGCCGCCGGAGGUGGCACGAAACCAGAAGUGAACAAAAAAAACGUGCUUCAUUAAUCCAUUGAAUUUAUGCGACAAGUGACGUGUGUUUGAUUGCUCAUCAUCAUCUCAUCAUGAUGGCAACAAUGUCUGGCAACCGUCGAUCGAUUAUUAUUAACAUGUUUAUUCUUUUGCUUUGCGUUGCUCUGUGUAUUUUUCAUUUUGCGUGACGAUCGAUCGUUGUUAGGUUAGUUGGCCAAACUUGCACAUUCAUUACUUUCAUUCGGAUGCUUUCAUGGUUUGUCCACAUUUUGUGUGCUAACGUGCUGUGCUAUCUUCUGAUAUGCUAUGCGAAAAAUCAUUCCCAAUGGGUUUUUUUCUUGUUCACUUAAAAAGGUGACAGAGGUCGAUGCGUAAUCGUUAUUGAGCAUUGAAAACGCAAAACAAAAAACCAGCCGCUCAUAUAAAAACUCCUCAACUAAUCUCACCUACUUAUUCUUUAUAUGAGGUUAACAUACAGAUACAUCUCCUUCUCUUUCUGUCUCUCUCUCUCUCUCACUCACCGUGCCAGCCUCAAUAUUCUCGUGUGCUUUUUAUCGCAAUUUUCGAUCAUCACCGGGGUUUUCCAAUAUUUAAAUAUUUAAAUAUUUAAAAGCACAUCAUUGCCGUUGUCACUGUCAUUGUUCACGCCAACGAAAAAAAAAUCAACAAUACGACAUAAUAUUAUUCUUGUGAAAUUUGAUAUUGCUCGCUAUUAGCUUGAUGUUGAUUGACCACAAAAAUGGUGCGUAAUAAAAAUGUUUUGUUUGCAAGAGAUAAAGUAACAGACAAACGAGCGUUCAAAUACAUUCGCACGCACCAAAAAUACAAGAAGAAAGAAAUCAAAAAAGCUGAUAUACGAAAGAAGAAGAAGAAAAAGAAGGAUGAGGAAAAAAAUGGCAAAUCGGCGUCGUACAUUACACAUAUAUAUGUUCACAUCUAUUAUCGCUAGCCAUACAAUUGUGUUUAGUUGACGCUUCUUUCUUUUGGCUAUAAACCAUCAUCGCCUAGCUGUUUUGUGAUUAAGCGACAGCAACGACGACAACAACGAAGGCGAACAACCGUAUGCGAUCACAGCGUUUGCUGUCCAAAAAACUUGUGUAUAUACACAAUUUACCACAAAUACAAGCUUGAUCGACCCGUUUCGUCGAUGUUUACCGAUUAGUCUCAUGCAUAUCUUCUUCUCUGUGCGUGACUUUUGUGGUAUUGUGUCGAUGAUUUGCACAGCAAAACCUGCCCACAUUGGCCCAAUAGUCAAAAACAAAUGGCUCCCAUACACAUAUAGAAUAUUUGGCAUGCGUAUCUUUUCAAUUCCGUUCAAAACAUUUUUCGUCCAAAUCGGAGAAGCACUUGGCACGCUCGUUGGGUUUUUUUUUCUCUGUAUAAUUGUUGUUUUGAUUGUGCUGGUUUGACUGUGGAUUUUUCCGGUCUUUUGUGUUUUUUACAUUUUUGAUACUUUGUCAUUUCAUUAUAAAUAUCUUUAGAAGAAUUAUUCUUACUCAGUUGCUGUCAUUCCGCAUUGUCGUCUGACAUACCCACAUAUAAACGACGAACAUACGAAACGAAUUAUUUUUUUUCUUCGUUCAAAUCGAUAUUCCUGUACACAUCGAAAUUAUUGUGGAAAUAUAAACGCAUUAUUUUAAAUUGGUUAAACAAAAAAUAAAAAAUAAAAA